UAUAGAGGAGCGGAAGAACAAGAGUAAGUUUUCCUUAAUUGUAAGCGGCGAAAAGGAACGCGGGAAAGCUGAAAGGGUAUCUCCGCCGAAGAGAAAAGAUUUCCUUAUCGUCUUUUUUCUGGGCGCAGCGAAUAAGAUCGUUGCGACUGUCACUUUUUUAAGUGGAGUACUAUAUGU
rnacentral:ncRNA from 1 species